rnacentral:rRNA from 1 species
AUUGAACGCUGGCGGCAGGCCUAACACAUGCCAGUCGAGCGGCAGAAGAGUGCUUGCUCCUGGAUUCAGCGGCCGAGUGGUGAGCAAUGGCUAGGAAUCUCCGUGGUAGUGUGGGAUAACGGCCGAACGCGGGGGCUCAUACCGCAUAAGUGCAUACGGAGUAAGGGUGGGAUCAUCGGACCUUCGGCUAUUACGUGAUCCAAGGUCGCUAUGUCGGAUUAGCUAGUUGGCGGGGUAAAGACCCACCAAGGCGACGAUCCGUAGCUGGUCUGAGAGGAUGUUCAGUCACACUGGAACUGAGACACGGUCCAGACUCCUACGGGAGGCAGCAGUGGGGAAUAUUGGACAAUGGGCGCAAGCCUGAUCCAGCCAUGCCGCGUGGGUGAAGAAGGCCUUCGGAUUGUAAAGCCCUUUAAGUUGGGAGGAAGAGCAGUAAGUUAAUACCUUGCUGUUUUGACGUUACCAACAGAAUAAGCACCGGCUAACUUCGUG